GUGGCAGCAGCCGCGGUAAAACCAGCACCUCAAGUGGUCAGGAGGAUUAUUGGGCCUAAAGCAUCCGUAGCCUGCUUUGUAAGUUUCCGGUUAAAUCCAUUAGCUCAACUGAUGGGCCGCCGGAAAAACUGCAAAGCUAGGGAGUGGGAGAGGUAGACGGUACUCGGUAGGAAGGGGUAAAAUCCUUUGAUCUAUUGAUGACCACCUGUGGCGAAGGCGGUCUACCAGAACACGUUCGACGGUGAGGGAUGAAAGCUGGGGGAGCAAACCGGAUUAGAUACCCGGGUAGUCCCAGCUGUAAACGAUGCAGACUCGGUGAUGCACUGGCUUGUGGCCAGUGCAGUGCCGCAGGGAAGCCGUUAAGUUUGCCGCCUGGGAAGUACGUACGCAAGUAUGAAACUUAAAGGAAUUGGCGGGGGAGCACCACAAGGGGUGAAGCCUGCGGUUCAAUUGGAGUCAACGCCAGAAAUCUUACCCGAGGAGACAGCAGAAUGAAGGUCAAGCUGGAGACUUUACCAGACAAGCUGAGAAGUGGUGCAUGGCCGUCGCCAGCUCGUGCCGUGAGAUGUCCUGUUAAGUCAGGUAACGAGCGAGAUCCCUGCCUCUAGUUGCCACCAUUACUCUCAGGAGUAGUGGGGCGAAUUAGCGGGACCGCCACAGUUAAUGUGGAGGAAGGAAGGGGCCACGGCAGGUCAGUAUGCCCUGAAACCUUGGGGCCACACGCGGGCUGCAAUGAUAGUGACAAUGAGUUCCUAAACCGAAAGGUGGAGGCAAUCUUCAAACGCUAUCACAGUUAUGAUUGAGGGCUGCAACUCGCCCUCAUGAAUAUGGAAUCCCUAGUAACUGCGUGUCAUUACCGCGCGGUGAAUACGUCCCUGCUCCUUGUACACACUGCCCGUC
rnacentral:rRNA from 1 species